rnacentral:lncRNA from 1 species
UAACCAUUGAUCCAGCAACAGGAAGUACCAAGCAUAGUCUGCCUUCUGGCCUUUCAAGAGGAAAGAACCACUCCUAAUUUAUGCAAUGCAAUUUGGAGUUUCAAAUUCAAACAUAUGUUGCCAUACUUUUGCUUUGGAUGAAUGAAUUGUAGGAACAACUGAGUGUGUGAGACCAACCAUAAGCCCCUCCUGAGGACAGUUUCACUAACCAAUACAGGCAGUCAAACACUGUGAGUCAAUAUCUUCUGCCUUCUUCCCCAUCCAUCUCCCAUAACAGGAGCAAAUUAAUCAGAAUUUAUUAAAAAGUUGCACUGAGUUCUCAUCACUUGCCUUUUGAUUUUUGAACAUAUUUUCCCACUUCCCUUCAAAAUACAUCACUUUCCUAAACGGCGAUUGUGGUA